GAGCCUUGUCUAGGCUACCAGCCUACCGCUGCCAUCAUGCACAAACAUGUCCCAUAACCCCUAUAUGUAAUAUGUAUAGCUUUGUGUGGUGAAAACAUGUUCUUUGAAGGUUUGCCAAGACCACCACGGUACCACCAACAAUUUUAGACCUUUGUGUCUCAUCUCUCUGAAGAACUUUAUGUUUCCAAUAUGAUGCAUUUGUGGUUCUCUUUGAUUGUUGGCCACUCCUAGCUUAUGUCAUUCUUAUUGUAUAGUAUUUCCUUUAGCCCUUCUCUAUUAAUGAAAUAUAAGUAGUGAGCUCCUGCAAUUUUUUUAGGGGAAAAGAUAGUUUUACUAUUUGUCAUGAAAAUCCACCUUCGCUAUUAAGUAUCGUCUACACCCC
rnacentral:lncRNA from 1 species